UCCUCCGUGGCGCAAUUGGCUAGCGCGUUCGACUGUUAUGAAUCAUCAUUGCUAUCGAGAGGUUGAAAGUUCGAGCCUUUCCGGGGGAG